UAAUCUACUGUGUUUUUAUUGGAAGCAAGCAAUCAGGAAAGCUCUGACCCACUGAGCAGCUGGGAAUUUCUCCACGGCAGGUUGGGUUUAGUCUUUAUUUUUCUAGCUGUUGGCUCCGCUAACAUGAUUCAGUGAAGGUCAUAUUUAAUCUCGCAGGGAAAAGCUACCUAAGCAGUUCUCAGGUAGGUUUCAGAAAAAAUAAAUUGCCUUGGAUAAGUCUGUUGCUUUCCACCCAAGAGUUACAGUCAGAGAACAAAUGAAGGCAACAGGUUCUUUGGAUUUCAAAAGAAUUUCGCUGCAUAUAUGUUAUGGCCUGAGGGUUUUUUAAUAACAAAGUUCUUAAUAACUACCUUACCAUAAAGUGGCAGCUCCCAAAUGUUUAUCUCCAGUUUAUCAGCAAAUACAGCUUAUUCAUAUAUACAGGGAGUUAUUAGUAUCAUCACUGGAACUCGAUUGUCAAAGGCAUGGACUGGUAAGAUUUUUUAUUUUUAAAGGUCUAGGUACAAAGGAGAAAACCGAACAAUUCUUCACCUUCUGGAUGUUGAAUCCCUAAUACAAAGUGACAAAUGCCAAUGUUCAUGUGUUCAACACAUAUACCAUUAGAGGCAAACGCAAAACAGAUCUGGCCAUCCACCCCGAGCUGGAAUUCAGCCUUCUGAACUAACCUUUGCUUUAGGGCUGAAAAUCAAAUCAACAAAUAUUUAUCUAGUUCUUACUGCGUAUCAAGUCCUGGUGGGGAAUGCAAAGAACUACGACAGGAUCCUAGCUCUCAAAUAACUCGCCCUGUAGGUGUUACAAAUGGAAAAAUCCAAGGAAUCAACGACUUUCGUAACAGUUCAAGAGGCUUGAAAAGAUUCAAGAUGUUCACAACGAAUCGCCAAAGGAACGGCACAUAACCGUGUGUUGCUUCUGAAGAAUUUCAGAGCAUUUUAUUAUUUUAGGCUGGAGAGAUCAGGUUUGUCCCUGUGUUGCUCUUUACACUUGGCUUCCUGUUCUUAUCCUCAAUUAAUAUGGCAGCCACCAGCUAUAUGAGGCUAUUGCACACUUGAAAUGUGACCAGCCUGAAUUCAGAUGUGCUAUAGACACAUUGGAUCAGGAAGAUUAGUAUGAAAAAAAGAACAUAAAUGACCUCAUUAAUAUUUUUGUAUUACAUGUUGAAAUGAUAAUAUUUUGGACACAGUGGGUUAAACACAAAUCAUUAAAAUUAGCUUCACUUACUUCUUUUUUACUUUUCUAAGAUGGCUACUGGAAAAUUCAAAAUCAUAUGAGUGGCUCACAUUACACUUGUAUUGCACAGUGUUGUUCUAAUUAAUAUUUUUUGGGGGGUAAGGGCUAUGCUUUGGCAUUCUGCCUUGGAAUUCCUGACAGUUACGCCCAACACUAGUCUCGUACCAAUCCAAAAAUGUCUCCAGUAUCUAUAAAGGGAUCAAAACUAUUCAAAAUUUUUUUCAGACACAAAUUAGGGAUUUGGAGGCUUCUUCAGUUAUGAAGAGUCAGGAGUCACACCCUAAUUGAGUCAUACUAAGCCAUUCUGAAAUAGGGGUCUUGCAAUGGUUGGUGUCCAGGGAAAAAUAAAACUUCCCUGGAGCCCUCAGGGCUCCUGUCAAACACCUUAGCCACUGAGACAGUGGAACAUAUAGGGUAUAAAGGGAACGUAUAUGACAUGAAGAGAGUGACACUGGCAUUCACUUCCCCUCAAGACACUCCACUAUGCGUGUACCAUGAACACUGGGUCUGCAGCAAGCUGUCUAAAUUAACUGUUCUGAUACCAAAGGAUAAUUAAACUUCUCUGGUGUCCUCAAGAUGGUGAAAUGAUUACAGCCUGGACUAGAUGCCUAAGUUAAGUUCCGAAGGUGCCAGGAAGACCUACCUUUCCGUACAUUUCAUGAGGGAUGAACCUCAGACGUUGGAGACAUUAUAUUCCAAAAGUGUCUUCUGUUUCUGCAGCGUUCAUACAUAAAGGACUUAUCUGAGAAGCAGGGUGACAUCUCAGACCCUCCACAGUUCUUGACAAAAGAGCAUGUGCCAGCCUCAUCAAGGAGCCAUGAACCUAAGUGUCUUCCAGUAGCAAGAGAUCAGAUCAGUCUGGACAAUGGCAUCUCUUGGCACUACAUGGCAAUCCCCUGACUGUAAAGCCUGGUUCCACAUAUCAAGGCGGAAAGAGCUCAACCAUGGCCAAGUUCAUACACAACGGCCUCAUUAGCAUUACCCUAUUUACUUCCCUAGUCUAACAUUUACGGGAGGUGAGGUCAGAGAGGACACUUGAGCAUUGUCUUGAGAAUAUUUUUCUCGUUAUAAGAGCAAUUGCUCUGUUGUAUUAAAUUUCAGAGCUAACAA